rnacentral:rRNA from 1 species
AACGAACGUUAGCGGCGCGCUUAACACAUGCAAGUCGUACGAGAAAGGGCUUCGGCCCCGGUACAGUGGCGCACGGGUGAGUAACACGUGGGUAAUCUUCCCUCGGGCGGGGGAUAACAUUCCGAAAGGAGUGCUAAUACCGCAUAAGACCACGGCUUCGAAAGGAGCUGAGGUCAAAGCCGGCCUCUAUCCAUAAGCUGGCACCUGAGGAUGAGCCCGCGGCCCAUCAGCUAGUUGGUAGGGUAAUGGCCUACCAAGGCAAAGACGGGUAGCGGGUCUGAGAGGAUGAUCAGCCAAACUGGAACUGAGACACGGUCCAGACUCCUACGGGAGGCAGCAGUGGGGAAUCUUGCGCAAUGGGCGAAAGCCUGACGCAGCGACGCCGCGUGAGUGAUGAAGGCCUUCGGGUUGUAAAGCUCUGUGGGGAGAGACGAAUAAGUCGGAGCUAAUACCUCCGGCGAUGACGGUAUCUCCUUAGCAAGCACCGGCUAACUCUGUGCCAGCCGCCGCGGUAACAC